rnacentral:rRNA from 1 species
GAUGAACGCUGGCGGCGUGCCUAAUACAUGCAAGUCGAGCGAACAGACGAGGAGCUUGCUCCUCUGACGUUAGCGGCGGACGGGUGAGUAACACGUGGAUAACCUACCUAUAAGACUGGGAUAACUUCGGGAAACCGGAGCUAAUACCGGAUAAUAUAUUGAACCGCAUGGUUCAAUAGUGAAAGACGGUUUUGCUGUCACUUAUAGAUGGAUCCGCGCCGCAUUAGCUAGUUGGUAAGGUAACGGCUUACCAAGGCGACGAUGCGUAGCCGACCUGAGAGGGUGAUCGGCCACACUGGAACUGAGACACGGUCCAGACUCCUACGGGAGGCAGCAGUAGGGAAUCUUCCGCAAGGGGCGAAAGCCUGACGGAGCAACGCCGCGUGAGUGAUGGAGGUCUUCGGAUCGUAAAACUCUGUUAUUAGGGAAGAACAAAUGUGUAAGUAACUAUGCACGUCUUGACGGUACCUAAGCAGAAAGCCACGGCUAACUACGG